GGGCGAAUAGCUCAGCUGGUUAGAGCGCCUGUCUUACACACAGGAAGUCGGGGGUUCGAGUCCCUCUUCGCCCA
rnacentral:tRNA from 1 species